GAUGAAGGAGGAGUUGAAAAAGAGAAAGAAUAAGAAAAAUGCACAACACCUGAUAAAGAAAUAGAAGCAAGGAUAAAAGCAAUAGAGGUGAAAAAGAUAUGUGGGAAAAGAUCCAGAAUACAAGAUGAAGAUUGUCUCAUUUUUUAUGAAGCUUCACUUUCAAUAAUUUGUUUAAACGUAGAUGUCCAACUACAAUAUCUUCAACAAA
rnacentral:lncRNA from 1 species